GACAGGCUUAGGCCAUGAGCUGAGAAUUAGCUUUGCCCACACCCUAAAAUCUUCACAUAUAUAUAAUCAGCUGUUUAAGUAAAGACUAUGUAGUGUCUCCAAAAUAAGGUUGUGGAUGCACUUCUAUUUUGUUGCCCCUCAGCAGAUACCCAUACCUGUGCACAUUCUAGUUCCAGUGACCAUGAAAGGGUUCCCAUGAAACAGAUAGGAAGACACUUGGAAGUACCUCCAGUAGUUUGGGGAGUCUGUUGUUCAACGCAAAGUGUAGAAGAACAGGUUGAAGACCAUGCACUGAUGACCUCUUUUUACUGCAGCCUAUUGUUAGGCCAGGUUUAGCUGUGUGCUCUGGGCUGAAGUUCUCCUUGGGACUUGCUUUUUCAGCAUGGAUAGCACUUUUGAAUUGGCAAAAGGUAGGUGAUUGACAUAGGACAGAAGGCCUGAUUUCAUCAAGACUUUGGCAUGCCACUUGCUGGAAAAUCUAUUCCAAUAAGUGCCAUCCAGAGUUAUUAAAUGCGGCACUGAAAGCUGAAUAAAGCCACUGCCAAGGAACUGCCACUCUGGACUCGUUUGCUCUCUGGUCGUACAGGCAGCCCUGAGCAUACAAGGUAGAGAGCUAUUUUUUAUCCAGCAUGGAAAGGAAACAGGAGAACUGAGACAGCAACACCCACACAUAUGAAGAUGUCAACUAGAAGGGCUCUGCUUGUUCCCUUCAGCAACAGCAAGUAAAUACCUGACCUAUUUAGAAAAACUUAACACUAGAGACCUGAAGAAAUCUCUGGAUGCAAGAUGCAUGCUGAACUGUGUGUGACCCUCUCUGGAGAAAUAUUAGCUUAAUAUAUUAGUAAAUGUUUUUUAGUGAAGAUAAAAGAAUAUUAGAGAAAAUAUACAAGGCUUGAGGUCCAAGUUCCCUGUGCAGUCCAUUUCCCAUUGAAAUCAAAUGGCCAAAAUGAAGAGGUCAGCAGAAGUUUGCUUGAAUUCUGAUUGAGGAAAACAAGGAAAGCUCUUUGCUCACUCCAGGCAGUGCUAUUAUCAAGAGGAUCUCAUCAUAAAGACCAAGGCCAGAAUUUUCAAAGGCAGUUAAUUGGUUUGCUAGCCUCUGCUGAGUGGAGCCGCUUUUGGGAACGUGUGAGAAACAGUAGAGCACCAAGGAGCCCCAUUCUAGUCCUGGGAGACUUAACCAAUGCCACAAGGCUCUUCGAAGCAUUUGACCCAUCUACUGUCAGAAUAAGGUCCAGGCCAAAAAUUAGGGAAUUCUGACUUGCAUAAGUGCAGAUGAAUGUCCUGGCUUGCCAGCUUGGGCAUCUUCAUGCCAUGUCCCCUUUUGUACCAAGACAGACAUGCAGAGGCCAAAGAACGGAGAUGUCUCAUGUUAACUUUAAGAUUUCAGAAUAAGCUGAGCUUACCAAGACAGGUGGUAAGUGCAGGGACCCAAAGAGUCAUGCUUGGAAGAUAAGAUUGAAGGACUCCUGCAGUUCACAAAUGCUACUUGGGAACCGGAUAGUCAAGUACUGCCAGUUCCUAGGAUCAGCUUAAAGUUAAUAAGAGUGAUGGCAGGUGCCCAAACAUCCUUGCAAUCCUACAUUUGCAGAGAUAUUUUCAUCACAGAGCAGACAAAAUAAAAUGGUUUUUAAAAACAACACACCCGCAGGUCUCUGUCCUUGCCACUGGGUAUAUGAAACUUAAACUAAGAAUAAAAAAAUCCUAACAAAAAAAGGGAAUAGAUUCAUAUAAAUAAUGUAAUUGGAGAAGCUUGAAAGUAGCAAGAAUGUGUGAGACUGAUGCAUUUUUAUCCUUUUAAAAUAAAACAGAUGCUGAGGGGACAUUGUAAGAAGACGUCUCAGAAAGACUGGUGUAAAAACAUUGAAAGAACUGAAAAACUUGGUUUUUCCAGGAGAACAAGAAAGGACCUGGUCCUACAGACCUUGGAUGUAGAAAUGAAUGUAAUGUAUGUAUGUAAUUGCAUAUACAUUACGUUAUGUAAAUGCCAUGAGUGCAUGGAGUGCUCCAUAUAUUAUUACUCUGAAUUUGGAAAAAAGUUUCAGAUGACCUCAAAGGAAUGAUUUUCAAAUCUUCAAGCUUACUUGGGAGAUUGCCACCAAGCAGAAGAGCCUUUGCUUAAGUGAAAGCAUCACUAGUCCAUGGGCACAAUCCACCUGCAAACCAUGCUAGUGUUUGUGUCCUUUUCAUAAGGCCCUGUUUUCCCAGUGAGUCUAUAUAACUCCAUAGUCAAUCCAUCCUUGGUUUCUAUGGAAAGCAGUGUAAAUCCCACACAUUUUAGGAAAAGGAAGUGGGGGCUAACUUCAGCCUUUUUGUCUUUUUUGGGGGGGGUAGGGGUAGCCUCAGUCAAAAUCUGUCCCAUAUUCAUUUUAUAAGUCUUUGCACUUAUCCAGAUGAUUACUAGUUCAUUUAAGAUCAUAAUUAUGUUAAUUUAAGAACACUGUUUCUAUAGGUGCGGUUACUUCCUGAAGUGCAAGAAGCUGCAGUGGGACUGUAAAAAAACAAUCUUUGGCAAAUCACAAAAGGCAGUGUUUUUUAGGCUUUAGUGGAUUCAUCUAAAAUACUCUUAAGGAGUUGGUAUCAUUGCUAUUUUAAUGACGUGGCAUUGGAGACAUAAAAGAAAUAAUGUUUGACCCACAAUCACUCAGCAAGUCCCAUCCUUUCUCACUUCCUGAUGAUGCCACAUAACUGCACUGCUGAUGCCCACUGGCAAACUGACUCUCAUGUUCACCACUAGUGAUAACCAAGGGGGUUUCCUGGAGGGUUUCCUUUAGGCAAAAUUCUAAAUUGGCUUUGAGUUGAUUCUGCUACGAGACAUAAUCCACAGACACAGAAAGGUGACAUGACCAAAAUGAGAAGUGGUGUGAGCUACCACAGAACUAUAAGGCUAGUAGUUUACAAUUUGCCUGUUCAAGUAUUUCAUGUCAUUAGAAGAGCAAAAUGUUGUCCCUUUUUUAAUUAUAUGAAGCAUUAUAUUUGACUAAAGGAGAAGUAAGACAAGAAACGAUGAAUAGAAAUUCCCCUGAAAAGAAGGGACUUGUUUGCCCAUGGAUGCACAUCCAUUCUAUCUCUCCCAUUCUAUCUCUAUCUCUUCCCCCUUCAAAUGCAAUUCUGUGGAUUCCACCUAUGCACCAGGCAGGGAGAUCAAGGUCUGGCUCCAGAGGGAUGCUUUGUACUGUCCUGAAAGCAUAACUUAAUCCUGUGAGUGGAUAAAAACAAAGCACUGAGGAUAAUGCACUCUUGAGUUUCUGGCUCCUUCGACUCCAUCCCUGUCUUGGACAAACUUCCUCUCAUCUCCACAGAGUUAUCUGAGUACAGGUCUCAGUAUUCUCCUUCCUAGAGUUUAUUAUGAAUUUAUUAAAAAAAAAACAACACAUAAUCCCUUCAGCUAUGAAAAUUACCCUCAUUUGUCUACAAAUAGGCUUAACCUCUUAAACUGUGUCAGAUGCUGCAGAUUCACCAAUUUGAUCUAGAUCUUCAGAUCUUCUCUGCUACUACAGCUCCAGGGCAAAUGACUCAUGCUGUUUGCAAGUGCCACAUCCCACUGAGGCUGGCAGAACCACUGUUCUGCUAUCAGUGUGUCUGCAGGUUUCUACUAAAGCCUGGGCAGGGAUUUUCUCCUGAUCAAGCUGAGCUCAUCAACAUUCUGCAGCCAUAAAGCAGUAUGCUGUACUUACAUGAAAAUCCAUGUAUUUGCAUCAGUUCAGCCACAAAUUAGCAGAGGAGAAUGUGUUCUAGCAUCAAACAAAUAUGAUAAAGGCAAAAUCCUAUUGAUCCAUGUAAUCAUUUCCCCUGCUACAUUUCCCUUCACCUGUGGCAGUCCUAGGAAGGUUGGUCUGCACUACCUAUCAACUUACCUUGGAAAUUGCUUUGGAAACAUGAAAGGGAAAUGCCGAAGAAUUUUCAGACAAUCUAAAUGGUUUUUAUAGCUUGUUCUUGGAAAUCAGAGUGCCCUGAGCUGUCUGAAUGUUCUGUCCUUACUCUAUAAAUCUUUUUUUUUUAAAGCAGAAGGGAUACACUUUCCCAGGUGUGUGCCCAUUUCUAGAUUGUCCCAAACCUUCUGCUACCUUUCUUGGGGAAGGGAAAAAUCUAGACGCAGAAAAUCACAAAAAAAGCUCCUAUCCUAGGUAAGUUUUAGGUUAAUGGUACCCUUCUGGCUAUCAGGCACUUGGGGAUAGAAGAGAUUGGUGCAGCCAGUGUUGCCAGAUUUCCAGAUAGUCCUAUGCCUUGGCACUUGUUCAAUCAUAUCUGUAUGCUGAUCUGUGGGAUAGGCUGUGGACUAGGGUGAAAAGAGUCAAAGUUUUUUUCUUUUAGGUCUGCUUCAGUUAUCCAGGUUAUGGCAUAAGGUGUUGCUCUUGCCUAAUGAAUGAGCUGGAUGCUUUGAAAC